CGACACGCUUCCGACUCGACCGCCACUCGUCCACAAGUCCCGUCCAUCACCCGUCAACCGUUCUCCAUCACCCACAAUUAUUCGUCCCUCCGAUCUUAGUCGCGUGUGUACGCUAUCGGCGUGCGUACGCACGCGUGCGCUAUCACAGUGCCAGAGGGGGCGUCGCCGUCGUCGGUGCUAUAUAAACGGCGAGCGUCUAGCCGAAAUCAAGCAUUAACACUCGACGGAUGCACCCACGCGGAUCACUGCAGCCAUUUCGCAAUCGGCACGGACAACGAAGACGUGUACACGCGACCGACGUAUCUGCCAUAUAUUCACGAACGGACUACAGCUGCGGACGGGAUACACUAUAAUAUACACUUUACGUGUGUACCGCAAGACGACGAUAACGGCAGAGACAACGACCGUGACGUGACGACGAUACAUCGCGUACUUGAGAUGCCAAAAGAAUUGACAAUAUCUUGUUCGCGUGUAUAUCUAUUAUAUAAUCUGUCAAUCGAACAGAAAUUAUUAAAAUAAAAUAGUGUGGUAAAUAUACCGAAACGAAAUGGAUAUUCAGAGUUACUCACUCAAUUUGGAUGUGAUGUUCAAAUUGGCGCCACCACAACCUCCUUGAGUGAGCGACUCGGGGAUCUACAUGCUCGUCGCCGACAUACUCAUGUAGAUUAGGUAUAUUGUUUGUCGGAAUAACAACAUAUAAUAUAAUAUUAUUUUAACAUCGUUUAAACAACGCAGAAUGGAUCAAUUUUUUUUCGUUCGUUUCUUUGUAUAUUCACAAUUUAUUUAUUUAUUAUUGUCAACUGCAGUUACAGUGAGACGAGGUGAUCAAGUUUAAAUAACAAAUGAUUAAAAUAAUAUAAUGUAAUGUAAGUAUAAGUGUACAAUGUGUAUAACAUUCUUUGCACUGUGCUAUGUACUGCCUAAUAAAUACAUUACGUUGAGUAUUAUUACAUGAAUAAUAAACCUACUAUAAUAAUAUAAAA